rnacentral:Y_RNA from 1 species
GGCUGGUCUGAAGGUAGUGAGUUAUCUCACUUGGUUGUUCACAGUCAGUUACAGACCGAACUCCUUGUUCUACUCUUUCCCACCUUCUCACUACCACAUUUGACUAGUCUAAA